rnacentral:rRNA from 1 species
GACGGAAGGUGCAAGCGUUGCUCGGAAUCACUGGGCGUAAAGGGUGCGUAGGCGGCUUGGUGGGUCUGGUGUGAAAGCCCCGGGCUCAGCCCGGGAAGGGCGCUAGAAACUGCCGAGCUGGAGUGCCGGAGGGGAGAGUGGAAUUCCUGGUGUAGCGGUGAAAUGCGUAGAUAUCAGGAGGAAUACCGGUGGCGAAAGCGACUCCCUGGACGGCGACUGACGCUGAGGCACGAAAGCGUGGGGAGCAAACAGG